UACGGGGGGGGCAAGCGUUGUUCGGAAUUACUGGGCGUAAAGGGCUCGUCGGCGGCCAACUAAGUCGGACGUGAAAUCCCCAGGCUUAACCUGGGAACUGCGUCGGAUACUGGAUGGCUUGAAUCCGGGAGAGGGAUGCGGAAUUCCAGGUGUAGCGGUGAAAUGCGUAGAUAUCUGGAGGAACACCGGUGGCGAAGGCGGCAUCCUGGACCGGCAUUGACGCUGAGGAGCGAAAGCCAGGGGAGCAAACGGG
rnacentral:rRNA from 1 species